rnacentral:rRNA from 1 species
ACGUAGGUGGCGAGCGUUGUCCGGAUUUACUGGGCGUAAAGGGCGUGCAGGCGGUUUGUUAAGUCUAGGGUGAAAGCUCCCGGCUCAACUGGGAGAGGUCCUUGGAUACUGACAGACUUGAGGGAGGCAGAGGAGAAUGGAAUUCCCGGUGUAGUGGUGAUAUGCGUAGAUAUCGGGAGGAACACCAGUGGCGAAGGCGGUUCUCUGGGCCUUACCUGACGCUGAGACGCGAAAGCGUGGGGAGCGAACCGGA